AGGCACCAGCUGCAUCACAUGCGGCUAAAAAGUUCGAAUGGACUUGUUCCUGUUGCCACUCAUGGAGCUAAACCAAACGUCAGACAACUUCCAGCCAAGCCUCAUCACAACAUGACAAAAAGGAAAUGGGAAGAGCCAGGAAUCAGCCUGAUGUUUUAGUUGUGUGACAUGUGGCCACAGAAGAUGCAAGCCUUACAAGGGUAGCAAAAGAGAGGACGAAGGAAAAGGACACUGUAAGCACAUUGCCUCCACGAAUGCUGCUCAUAUUUGUUCAUCCUUUCGGACUCUAUUGUUCCUGGACUUAUAAGUCAACAGUGAAUGUGUGACCAAUGGAAGCAACAUCAAGGGCCUGAAUCCCCACAAGAAUCAUCAUCCCAAUGUCGUCAUACCGUCUUCGGUUGCACCACUGUAUGCUUAGAAAGCCAGGGAACACUCACAGAGGAGUGUAGUUGUUUAAGCAAGAAUGCUGUAAAACAUCCUUUACACUGCAAUGUCGUGUAAGAAGCAGGACCUUCAGACCCCAAGCAAUUCAGCGAGAUCAAGAUCGCCUACUCCCGCACAACAGCUAACACUUAAAGAUUUAUGUUGCACACUUUAGUGCCUUUAGAGUUUUCUUUUUAUCAUGCCUGUGUCAUGCACAGCACCAUCUAUUAAUUGACCUUUGUUACAAUAAACUCUCCAGUUGCCAGUGCA